rnacentral:rRNA from 1 species
CUGUACAGUUCAGAGUUUGAUCCUGGCUCAGGAUGAACGCUAGCGACAGGCUUAACACAUGCAAGUCGAGGGGUAACAGGGUAGCAAUACCGCUGACGACCGGCGCACGGGUGAGUAACGCGUAUGCAACCUGCCUAUAACUGGGGAAUAGCUCCCUGAAAGGGGAAUUAACACCGCAUAACACUAUUGAUUCGCAUGGAUUAGUAGUUAAAUGUAGCGAUACAGGUUAUAGAUGGGCAUGCGUGACAUUAGCUAGUUGGUGAGGUAACGGCUCACCAAGGCUACGAUGUCUAGGGGUUCUGAGAGGAAGGUCCCCCACACUGGUACUGAGACACGGACCAG